rnacentral:rRNA from 1 species
UACGUAGGGGGCAAGCGUUGUCCGGAUUUAUUGGGCGUAAAGAGCGUGUAGGCGGCCAGGUAGGUCAGCUGUGAAAACUCGAGGCUCAACCUCGAGACGUCGGUUGAAACCACCUGGCUAGAGUCCGGAAGAGGAGAGUGGAAUUCCUGGUGUAGCGGUGAAAUGCGCAGAUAUCAGGAAGAACACCCGUGGCGAAGGCGGCUCUCUGGGACGGGACUGACACUGAGGAGCGAAAGCCAGGGGAGCAAACGGG